UUCUUCGUGUGGACUCAUAAAAAUUCUCCAUGGCCCAUCUGACUGAUAUCUUUCAAACCCAAUCUUCUUCGAUGCAAGCGAUGAUUGACUCCAGCUCUUUAACUUCGUCGGCAUCGUUUCACAUCCCUGCAAAUCGGCGUUUGUUAUCUGAAUUUAUUACGAACCCGUCUUAAUCAUUCACUUCUAUUAUUUAAUCCUCUUCAUGGUUUUGUUUCACCUCCCUUUUUCUACCCCUAUAUAAAUCUCCUUGAAUUUUAUAUCCCAGGAAACUCUACAACCUUCACAAAAUAAGAUAAAGCUUUUAAGUUCAUGAAAUAUGUUUAAAGUGGCUGAAGAUCUUGCAACUAUGCAUGUUCUUCGAGUUCUUGGGGGUACAGGUUACUCCUACAGAUUCAGCCAACUCCAACCUUUCGUUAGAGUAAAUCGCUCAAAGAUCUAUCCACCCAAACUGAGCUAGAGAGCGAAGAAAGAGGAUGAACCCAGAUGUCAUUAAUGGAAAAUGAUUAAAAUCUGUUUUCGUCAAUUGUGGGGGAUUCAAAUUUGCACUUAUCAUCAUAAAAAUGGAUCUUCUAGGUAUUUGGUCCAAGGUAGUUGCAAUGCUGGAGCAGUUUGUUCACGUCCUUACAAGGCAUGUUCUUUUCUCUUUAUUGUGGCUGCAAUAUCUUGAGCCUUUGGAUGACAUCUACUAACUAAGCAUAGAUUGUGGGUACGAUAAACGGUUUGGUCAAACUCCAGGGAGGUUGUCUGUAAGUAAACAAAUGAAUCUGAAUUGCUGAGAGCUGAAAUUUGUUGUGGCUGGAACCAGCAUUGGUGAAGGAAAGAGAAUAUCCGCUUGAGCAUUGGUUCGAUUGAUCAAGGAAAAUUUGUAUGUCAAACCCAAAAAUACUGCCACAACAAACGUAAGGAUCCGAGAUCCCAAAAGUGAGAAAAGAGCAGACUAAACGCAAUCCAGAGACAAGAACUUACCGUUGCUACUCUACCUUUGCUGAAGUAAUUGCAUUUCUGAAGCCCUUACUAAAGUUCACCUCUUGCUUCCCGACCAAACUCAAGCUCUUCACCAUCCGGAAACCAUUCUUCUCAAGUGAGCAUGUCUGCUUAGAUCUAAUGUUAUGAUUAGCUUCUUUUAACUGCCAAUUUAAGAAACGAUAUUAGUAGCAAAAUAAAUGCAAGCUUGGUUGUUAUCUACUGCUACCUUUCUUAUUUCCAAUAUAUAAAAGAAUCAUUGUUUAUUUUUACAGA